rnacentral:piRNA from 1 species
UACAAAUUUUAAAGUAAAAAU